GCAGUUAGCACAUACUAAACAUAACUAAACAUAACAUUUGACACAACCUGGAAAAAUGAUCAACAUACUUGUACAAUAAAUACAAAAGUAAUGGAUAAAAUGGGCAGAUGUGUAUAAAGACUCCCUGGAUGGAAUAUUUGGUAUAUUAACAUAACAUUUAUUUACCAUCAUUCAACUCCUGCAAAAUUUUGUAUAUCAUCAUAAAAUUCCUUUGAUUAUUAGUUUACAACAGAUUGAAUAUUCUCUUUUGAUAUUUCUUUUUUGAUCAUUUUACUUAUGAUUUAUUCUCUAUAUUAACAUUAGAAUUCUUGAGUGAUAUAUUUUUCAAACUGCUGAAAUAUUCUACUCUUGACAUGUCUUUAUUUAUUAAUUAAAUAGAACAUUCUUGACAUUUACAUUAAAUUUAACAUUGAAAUUCUGUAUAAUAUUAAAAUUCUAAACAAUUUAAAGUCAUAAGAAACGAGUGACUGGUGAAAAAUAAUGUUCUUCCAAUUCUUGAACCAAUGCAUACAAACAUCAUUAACUUAGUCUUCUGUGAACGAAUUUAUCAUUUUUUUCGUGUAAAUUUCGUAUAAUCAUCAUAUUUUUUUCAAUCGAUCAGUGUUAUGGCAGGUAAUUAAAGUUUGUCUUUUGAAGCCGAAGUUUAACGAUUGUCACCUGUUUGUCAACAAUCAACAAAAAAAGCAUGGAAAUUGAGCAUGUGUUUAACAUGUAAAUUCAGAUAAUAGUUUAUUUUAAGGACAUCCAUGCGUAUUGUGAUCACCGGAUUUUUAAGAGAUGGGUCACACUGAGGUCACUUUGCAUACGGAAAAUAUGUCGGGAGAAUUGCUUCUUGGAAGGGAAGCAAUUAAAAUAAAGUAAACUUCUUCUAAAUAUGAAUAAAUUAAAGAAUUUUCAUCAGAAAAAAAGUAUAUUUAUAUAAGUUUUAUAAUAAAAACUAUCCAUUGAGUUAUAAAAAAACAUACGCAUUAUUUUUUUGAUUUGAGGUUUCUUAUGAAUUUAAUGAUAGAAAAUUCUUGUUUUACAAAAUUUAUGUUUUGAAAAUUUCUACUGAAAUUGAUGCAG
rnacentral:lncRNA from 1 species